rnacentral:snoRNA from 1 species
AUCCUUUUGUAGUUCAUAAGCAUAAUGAUUGGGUUUUCACGUGCAUGUGUGACAUGUGUCUCCCUCAAACCUUGUUACAACAUUGGCACAUUACCUGUCGAUA